rnacentral:tRNA from 2 species
GCCACCGUAGCUCAGUGGUAGAGCACACCCUUGGUAAGGGUGAGGUCACGGGUUCAAAUCCCGUCGGUGGCU